rnacentral:lncRNA from 1 species
GCAUUGAAUGGAUUUCUCCAGACACCGAUUGAAAGUGGAUUCACGAAUGACGCACAAAACCUGGCCCCUCUCGUACGCCACACCUACACCGGCAAUGACUUCAAAGACAUGGUAGAGCUAAAUGUCCCCCUGGUGGACAAAACCGACUUCAUCAAACAAUUCAACUCUUCCACCAAAAGGAUCCUCAUCACCCGUCCGCGCGGGUUCGGCAAAACCUUCAACUUGUCCAUGCUGAAACAUUUCUACGCGCUCAACACCAACUCCAGCCACCUGUUCAAGGACAAGGCCAUCUCCAGGGACAAAGCCUUCUGCGCGGAAUACCUGAACAAGCGCGAAGUCCUAUUCAUGAGUUUUGCGGGCCUCAACCACAGCACUUUCGAAGGGGUUCGAGGCGCGUUCAGGGCUUCGCUCGACGGUUGUACCAAGAGAACUCCUACCUCGCCAACAGCAGUCACGUCCCGCCAGCGGAGCAACCUGCCUUCAAGGCCUUCGCCCGGGGGAAAAUAGACGACAACCAGAUCCCGGAGGCCUUUGGACUUCUGGUCCGUUACCUUCAUGCCGGCCGUGGGAAACUCGUGCUUCUCCUUGAUGAUUACGAUGGACCAAUCAGGACCGGCUACACACACAAAUAUUACGACCGCAUCCGGACUUUGGUCUCCGCUAUCCUGAGAGCGUUAUUCCAGGACGACUAUUUAGAAUUCGGCGUUGUGACUGGAAUCACAAACGUCGGAACUGAAGAUAUGAACUUCCUGGAAUAUCCCAUGAACGACGGUGCUCUGUCCGAGUUCUUCGGCUUCACCUACGAUGAAAUGGACUCUCUGGCGAAACAAUUCGGCGAGCCGAAACCUGGGCUGGUGCCGAAGAUGGAAGCCAUGUACGAGGGAUAUUAUUUCGGCAACCGGACUGUCCAUAACCCGUACGACGUGGUCGUUAGUCUGCAGAGACGGGGAGAUCUGGAUGACCACUGGGUGCAGGCCUGUGGAGAUGAGGACCCGUACGAGUUUUGGAAUAAGUUCGGGUUGUUACCGUCCCUCAAAGGACAGUUCUUGCUUGCCAAUGUAAUGCCCAGACAAUGGCUUCGGAAACAGGUAGACUUGUCCCUCAUGGACACGGACGAGGACAUGUUUUGGACGUAUAUAACCAGGCUAGGUUACCUAACGGUGGCCGAUGUCCUAUCGAUUACCGGUAACGGGGACGCUCUCUACGCCCUGCGAAUCCCGAACCGGGAACUCCGCGAAACACUCCACUUCAUCGUUUACGGCAUCCCGCAUCACUUCCAGGUCCGUGAAUACGAAAAGUUUGAGGAGGCCUAUCAGUGGCAGCAGGAGAAGGCUGCCACGAGGAUCUUGACCAAGUACGCAAACAGGACGGGGAAGUACUUCAAGACAGCCCCCCUGAGGACAGCCCUCGGGCUUGUUACAGGGUUGGAGGAGACUAGAGGCCGGCUCAUCAAGGUCCCUGGGGACUGCGAAAUGUACAUCUUCGAAAAGGCACAGAAUAUGAUUCUGUUGAGGACGGUCAGCGACAAGGCGGACCUGAAUCCUCAGACUGAGGAAAAGUGGAUGAUAGAUUGUUUUGCGCACAUUAAGAAGAAAUUACCAGAGAACAGGGUCACGCGGCAGGCCGUCGUGUCAGUCUGGAACAAUACCGUCAUCAUGCAGUUCUAUCAAUAUCGAUAGCCUUUCUCAAUGCCAUCGUGGGACUAAACGACCUUGCGUUUCCGUUUAGGACGAUACAAACUUUCGCGUGAGCCCAGCUUGGUACUGUACGUGUCGAAUCUGCUCAAGACACUCUCAAAAUCCAAAGGCCGAAAACUCAAAACUGCUAGGAAACGCGAGAGUCAGCUAGGAGGGGGGAGGCGGAAGGGGAGAGAGGGAGAGAGAGAAAGAGCACUAUGUAUCACUUCUUACACAAGGCAGGGUGAGUGAGUAUACAGGAUAAAGAGUUUUGAGUGAAGUGAAGUAUGAACUUGCACUACGUCUCUUCUUAACUUAUUCCUACGAAGGACUGACUCAAUGGGAUUGUGGAUGAAGAUGAUCUCAAACGUGUCCCGGUUUUUAAAAUUGUUGAGACUUGAAAAUUCCUAAAUUACCAUGAUACAGUCAUGGGUCCUAUAAUCGUUUUUUACAAAUACGUUUCUGAUGUCUGAUUUUGCUGUCAGCGCCAUUUAAAACUGCAGUUUUAUUUUGACACCAAUUUUUUUCGCACAGUUAAGAAAGCAAAACACUCAAUUUCAAGUGUUUCGAUCCAAUCAGUAUAAAUUCAAAUGGACUUCAAAAUGGUGAAAUAGAGUCACGAUCUAUAGGACUCAAGUCCAUUCUUCCCACUCAGAAUUUUACACAAUAAGUAUUGACCCUGAAUUUCAAAGUCGAAACAAUUUUCAUUCAAGGACAACUUUUUAGAUUUUGCUCCUCUUGUUAUGACUAGAAUUCAUGAGAGGUAAAAUAAAAGUAUAGAAAAACUCGUCAAAGAUUAAUGAUAAUUGUUCAGAACCCGAUACUUUUAUCAAAAAAAGAAAUAAGUUUAGCUAACCCUUAUACUGCAGCUCAGGACUAGUCUAAUAAGAUUUUUCCAAUAUUAAAAGGCAAUGCAAUAGAAAGAAAUUUAUAUUUGUGCCUUUUUGAUUCUAACUUUCUUUCAGCAUUAUAAAUUUUAUUUGUACUUAUGCCCUGGUGCACAUUAGUGACAUUAGUCACAUUAGUCCUAAACAAUUUAGGAGCCAAAAAUUUUUCUUGCCGAAAAAAGUAAAAACGUGCAUUACCGUGCAAAUAAACCAGUCUUCUUUUUGUCUUUAGAGUGUCUAAAGAACGUCGAAAAACAUUAAAUCGUUACGUUUAUCCAUCUAUUGUAUACCUUUGUUCACAAACCCACUUUUCUUCGUUGAUUUUCCAAAUUUUCUUUUUCAUCUCGGUCUAACAAUGAGCUCCGAAUUUUUGUCGGAUGGCUAUGCUCGGUUGAUUUUUCUUUUAUUUUAAAUUGCAGCAAGUUUAACAUUGGUUACUUACUCAAGUAUGUACAUAUGUUAUUUUCAAUUCGAUGCUGAAAUUCUAUAUAGGACGUAUUUUUCUACCUCCAAAUAAGAGGGCAGUUACUAAUUUGUCCUUUACGUGCACCAAGAUAUGCAUAAGUUUGGACGGGGAUACUGUUUCCAAAGAUUGAAGAAAAAUUGCAAUGAAUGAAAAAAGUAGAAUUGUUCCUCUCCGUCUAAACUUUAAUAAUCUGCGUCUUGACGCCCUUCAUUAUUCUUUUCCACGCCUUUACAUUCAGUCCCGCCAUCUCCCGCUCUACUCUUCCCCUCCGGGCUAUUUUUUUCUUCAAUCUAAUUCUUUUCAUUUAUAUUAAGUCCAAAUUUCUUUCUUCAGUUUUUCCCAUUCUUAUGCAUUUGUUUUUGGGUAAAAUACGCUAGAAAAAGGAUAGGGGUGGGUUGAUGGGGAAAAGUGGUCGAAAGAAGAUAGGUAAAACGAGCAUGGGUGCAAGGGGGAUGUAAAAUUAGGAAAAAUGAGGAUAGACAUAGAUCAUUACAGUAUACAUAGAGAGGAAAAAGUCUACCUUCUUACAUUCAUUGCAAUGUUUCCACAAUUUUGGGAGAGAAUCCUAUAAUUAAUAUUGUUGAAAAUUUAGUGCGUAUGCAAUACAAUCCGGCACUAGAAAAAAAAAUAGAAUUUCAAACAUUUUUUAACCUUAUCCCGGAUUAAGAUGUUAUUUUAUGUUGUUCUCUGGUUGAUUAGGUUGUUCAUCAUUCUAAAUAAGUAAUGUACAGGUGGAGAAGUACUAAUCAAAUUAUUUUUAAGACAAAUUCGCAAGCUCUGUGAGCUACUUUAUACGUAAUGGACAACCUCGCAACAAUGUUCGAUUGCCACUUUUUUCAGAUGUAGUAUUUUGACAGCCCUCGUUAUUGGAGUAAAAUGAGAUGAGUUUGAAACUUUCAUGAUAGCAAUAACGUAGGAGGGAAGAUAACAGCGAAUCGACAACAAAUCGCAAGUUCAUUUCAUAAAGGUGGAUGAUGUUAUCUAUAACCUUCACAAAGUUACCACCGUCAACACCAUGCGGUCAAGUAGAAUACAAAGAAAGUGUGCGGUUGCUCACACCACCUUUGAAGUGCCUCAGAGAGUUCACAACUCACCACUCGUCUUACCUUGAAUCGAAGAAACUUGCGAAGCAACCCCUUUUCAGUAUGUUCACUUCCAUUCCAUCCCUCAGGAGGGCAGUAGAAAGUUUCCGCUCAUUCCCUCCUUGGUCCUCGCUACAGCUCCUCAAUCAACUGACCCUCAUUUGUACAUCUUUUUCCCCAAAUAACCGCGUUUUUAAGUUCCUCGAGGCUGGGCUUUAAAAGUUCUCUGAAAUUUCCGAAUUUCGAGACAGCUGAAUCUAUAGCGAAGCAGACACAUUUCAAUAUUUCAAGUCAGGGCAAUCCCUGUAAUUUUCGUGUACCACUUCCAAAUGGCGAAUUUUUGAGAACUGUUAGAUCUUUUCUUCCUGAUCUAUAGACCUUGUGUCCGCCUAAUCGGGCGAGGGCAUUCUGUUGCAAAAGGGAGCUGAAGGUUCCGUGUUGCAAUUUCAAAAAUUGGAGCCGUAUCCACUUUACAAUUAAAGACUAAACUGAUCGAGAGUUGACUGUAUAGCGUCUUGAUACAAUUAUUCGUGUUCCACGAAUGUGCGUGUUGCAUGUUCUAAAUUGAAGGCGUUUGCGCAUUUCUCCUCUCUGUGGAGAUGCACAGGCACGGGACUUGUGGGGUCUAGCACUCUCACAGCAGAGUACCAAUACUGCCAUGCUAAGUAAGAACGCCGUAUGAGCCAUCAGGCCUUUCCAAAUUUCCUUCGACAAAUCAUGAAUUUUCAGAAAAUCUGUGAAUGUUUCUCUCGAGAUUUUUCGAAGGAUUUUGUUCGUAAGUUGGUCUAAAAGGCUGAAAAGGGGUACGUGCAAAACGGGCCAUUUCACGCUCGUGACGCCUACCAUUGAAACUCGCCCUAUUCAUUCAUCUAACAAUGCCCUAUGUUUUCCCAAAGUUUCAAGUCCCCAAAACAUUUUGGGGGGAAGUGGCGGGGGGUCAAAGUUGAAAACCCGCGAAAUUUUCGCGAAUUUUUUACUCAAAAACUACAAAUAUUUCGAAACGCGGUUUAAACGAGCGUUUUCAGCGUGAAAAGAGCUUUCAGAAAAUGUAUAAUAUCGACGUAAACGUCGUAUCGGUGUAUCGUUCGUGUGUCGACGUAAACUCGAGUUAUCGCCUCCGAAGCGCCGGAACGCUAAAAAAUGACCCGUUUUUUUGUCACGUUCGGGCCGAUCCCCAAAAUACGUCAUUUUUAAUUUCUUUGAAAAACUAAUAUGUUGUUCCUGACUCUUUAUGGCACCUAUUUGUCUUUACUGCAUCCUGGGGAAAUGUUUUGUUCGCGAGUUAUAAGCGCGGAAAGGAGCGAAAGUCGGGAAAAUCGGCUGUUUUGAACUGCGCGCGUCGCAAGGGUUAGAAGGAGAACGCCCCCUCCUGCUCAGUUCGGCGAAUCACACUCCUCUGCCAACCUCGCACUGUUGCCACAUGUCUCCUGAUUCGUCGCCGCGCGCAGUUUAAAAUAGCCGAUUUUCCCGACUUUCGCUCCUUUCCGCGCUUAUAACUCGCGAACAAAACAUUUCCCCAGGAUGCGGUAAAGACAAAUAGGUGCCAUAGAGAGUCAGGAACAACAUAUUAGUUUUUCAAAGAAAUUAAAAAUGACGUAUUUUGGGGAUCGGCCCGAACGUGACAAAAAAACCCCGCCCAACACGAAAUAUUGCUGCAAUAUUUUCGCAAUGUUCCGUGACAAUAUUGUCGCAAUAUUGUCAAAAAAACACUCUUAAAAUACUUGCUUAAUAUUUUGAAAACAUUCCUAACAAACAUUUUUAAAAUGUAUUUAUAAAAUAUUGUUUAAAUAUUUUAGCAGUGUUUCCAAAAUAUUUACUUGACAAUGUUGUUAAAAUAUUCAAUGUUUAUAUUAUGAAAAUGUUUCA